rnacentral:lncRNA from 1 species
AUCCAGGUAGCUUCCUGCGCCUAAAGCAUAUGCAAUGAUCGGUAGACGUAGAUGCAGUUGAAGGAUAGCAGCGAAGACUGCUACUCGCAGCUAUGAUCAUAUUCUGGUAUCCACCGCGACAUGCUCGGAAGGAGACAGCGCGCAGUCAAGGUUCCGAUUUGUUCAUGCUCACGAUGGCGAUGAAUGAUCACAUAAGCACUCUACACACAUCAUUUUCAGCUGGACUGCAUCCGCAUCUUGGGUUCAGUUCGGUGAAUUCUUUCUUUCUGAUACCACUCGUUCCUAUAGUGACACUGCUCACUCACUACCAGGGUCAAGUUGUUCUCUUGCAGAAAAGGAGAAAGCGAAUGAGUAAAUUAAACUAGAAUGGGUGGCCAUUUCUAUUUAGAUACAAUACUAGUAGAAA